GGGUCCUUAGACAAAGUAACAUCGCUUGGUAGCGAAACGAUAUCUAAAAUCGUCAUCGUCUCAACGAUAACGACAAACAUUUCUUAGACAAAGUAACAUCGCGAUCGUUAUCGUUGUGUCGAAUCGAUUGUUCGUUAAAAAGCAAAAAUAUUGUUUAUGGUAACGAAAAUUUAGCUGUCAGUGUCACUCAAGAAGUUGAAAUCGGAUUAUUCCCGCGAGUUAUUACUGUUUUCGAAUUUUACUGAUAAGAAUAAGUGAGUUGUUGGCGAUCGCCGUACUUCGUGAGGGUGAUGAUAUCACGGUCAGCGACGUUGGAGUGCUGGGUGACGUCACGGGAUCGGCACGGUGGUCGCCGCACCGGUGGGCUUCAAGUGGUUGUGCUGCGAUGCCCAGACGUAAAUAUCCGAAAACUGCUGGGCUCAAGUGCUUCCCAAGAGAAAUAUGACUUUAUAAGUUCAAUUUCGAACUAGCCCUCGCAUAAGACAGUCCACGUUAUUUCUAGUAAGUAAUAUAGUCUUUGUUUUAAGUAGUCGUUUUACUUCAGUGAAAUCAUAGAAAUAAAGAGUAGCUAAAGUAUUGUAAAUUAUAAUAAAAACAACUUUAUACUAGUAAGUAAGUGAAUAGAGUAUUAUUAUACUAAAUUGUUGGUCAGUGGGUAGCCUUCGGGGCGAUAUUAAGUUUUAAUUAUCAUUAACUUUGAUAUUAAGUUUUAGUCUUAAUGAUAAUCAAAAUAGACUCAUUUUUGUAAAUGACUGGUGUUCUAAUCUAUUGAUUAUUAUAAUUUUUAAUGAUAGUGAUGAAACAUGGAAUCAAGAGUGCGAACAAGUUCCCAACAAUUGUCAAUGCUGCUUGAGGAUAUAGCAAAUCAUGGUGACCCGGCGAGGCCUCUUGCUGCAUCACUAGGUUGGGUACAGUCAGACCGACUGUGGACUGAACUGACAAACAUAUUGAAUGCUGUUGGUGGUGGUGGCAGCAAGACUACAGACAAGUGAUAAAAAGCGUGGUCCGCGGUUGAGAUCGCCAGCGACACCGCAGUCUGCUGUUUCUCCCGGCCCUCGUUUGAGCGACCCCCUUCGAGAUAGCGGCAAGCGAGUAGCUAAAAAGCUAAGAGCACACAGCACCUGAAAAUUAUAAUAAUACAGAUUUAGA